AUGGCGCAUCUGCGGCUCCACGGCACCAUCGAUGCUACCAUCGUGGGGGCUGACAACCUCCAUGAUCGCUCGCGCCACACCGGCAAGGUCCCCGGUUUCCUCGGCAAUAUUGUGCAAGGUGUCCAGGAGACGACGGGUUUGGGCAAGGGCCUGCCGCGGAUGUACGCGGCCAUCUUCCUCGGCAGUGCAUGCGUCGCCCGGACGCGUACCAUCGCCGUCCCUGCCGCCGGAAGCGCGCGGUGGAACGAGCCGCUCCGCGCCUACUGCGCCCACCACGCGGCCGACGUCGUCAUCUCCGUCAUGAUCGAGCAGCUCGGCCUCGACGGCGACACCGUCCUCGGCCGCGCCUACCUGCCCGCCCGGGAGCUCCUCAGCGACGACACAACCAUCGACCGCUGGUUCGACGUCCUUGGCACCAACAGGAAGAAGCUCCCGGAUGGGCCCAAGAUACACGUGCAGAUCAGCUUCCGCGACGUCGCCGACCAAGGCCUGGCGUGGGGCGGCGGCGUUGGCGGCGGCGGCAGCUUCGGGGUGCCCCGCACCUUCUUCUCGCAGAGGCCGGGGUGCAGGGUCACCCUGUACCAGGACGCGCACGCGUCCGAGGAGUUCGAGCCCAAGAUCCAGCUCGACGGCGGCGGGCUCUACAAGCCUGGGCACUGCUGGGAGGACCUGUACGACGCCAUCAGCAACGCACGGCACCUGGUGUACAUCACCGGCUGGUCGGUGUUCCCCCACAUCACGCUCCUACGGGAGCGGGACGGCAAGCAGGAAACUCUUGGCGAGCUCCUGAAGCGCAAGGCCGGCGAGGGCGUGCAAGUGCUCAUGCUGGUGUGGAACGACGUCUCCUCCAUCGAUGGCUUGCUCGCCGGCCUCAUGGACACCAGGGACGAGCAGACGGCCAACUACUUCCAGGGCAGCCGCGUGCAGUGCGUCCUCUGCCCGAGGAACAUGUACGUCAGAGGCCACAUCUUCGACGCCAAGACGGACACGUUCGUCUACAGCCACCACCAGAAGGCCAUCGUCGUGGACCAGGAGCUGCCGCCUUUGUCGUCGGGCUCGGACGGCCGCCACCAGAUCGUCAGCUUCCUCGGCGGCCUCGACGUGUGCCAUGGACGCUACGACACGCAGUCCCACUCCCUGUUCAGGACGCUGGGCGCGGGGCAGCCGCACGGCGACGACUUCAGCCAAGUCAACUUCAGCGACGAGGACGCCACGCUCGGCAAGGGCGGGCCCAGGGAGCCAUGGCACGACAUCCACGCCAAGGUCGAGGGCCCCGUCGCGUGGGACGUGCUCCACAACUUCGAGCAGCGCUGGAGGAAGAAAGGCGGCGGCGACAAGGAGCAACUGGUCGACCUCGCAGCCCUCGAGGGCAAGGUCGCGCCGGCCUCGUGGGCGGUCACGCUCCCCGGCGACCAGGAGGCGUGGAAUGUGCAGCUCUUCCGGUCCAUCGACAACAUCGACACCGUGGGCUUCCCCGACUCCAUGGAGGCCGCCUUCAAGGCCGGUCUCCUCCAGGACAAGCACCGGGUGUACGAGAGGAGCAUCCAGGACGCCUACAUCCACGCCAUACGUGCCGCCAAAAGCUUCAUCUACAUCGAGAACCAGUACUUCAUCGGCAGCUCCUUCCAGUGGAAGUCCCACGACGGCAUAGACCCGGGGGACGUCGGGGCGUGCCAGCUGAUCCCCAGAGAGCUCUCGCUCAAGAUCGUGAGGAAGAUCGAGGACGGCGAACGCUUCGCGGUCUACAUCGUGGUGCCCAUGUGGUCCGAAGGCGCCCCUACGGGCCGAUACAGGCAGGCGAUGCUGGACAACCAGAGGAGGACGAUGGCGUUGAUGUACGACGACAUCGCCGUUGCGCUGCAGGCCAAGAGGAUAGACGCCAACCCAAGGGACUACCUUACCUUCUUCUGCUUAGGGAACCGGGAGGCAAGCAACCCGAAGGGCGGCGAGUACCAGCCUCCGCACCGCCCGCAGGACGGGACGGACUAUGCCAGGGCGCAGAUGGCACGCCGGUUCAUGAUCUACGUUCACUCCAAGAUGAUGAUAGUUGAUGACGAGUACAUCAUUGUCGGAUCUGCCAACCUCAACGAGCGGUCCAUGGCGGGGUACAGGGACAGCGAGAUCGCUAUCGGCGCGUACCAGCCGCACCGCAUCACCAGUGGCGCCGAGCUCGCCAAGGGGCACGUCCAUGGCUUCCGGAUGUCGCUCUGGCACGAGCACCUCGGCAAGACGCACGAUGACUUCCUGCGCCCGGGAAGCCUAGAGUGCGUGCAGAGGGUCAACAAGAUGGCCGAUGAGUACUGGAGCCUCUACGUCGGCGACCAGCUGCCGGAAGACCUCCCAGGCCACCUGCUCACCUACCCCGUCUCGGUAGACAAGGCCGGCAAUGUCUCAGCGGUCACGGGAUUUGAAUUCUUCCCUGACACAGAUGCUCGCGUGCUUGGUGAGCCAACGGGAAUAAAAGAUUAUUUUCUGAGCACAUAG
rnacentral:rRNA from 1 species